UACGAAGGGGGCGAGCGUUGUUCGGAAUUACUGGGCGUAAAGGGCGCGUAGGCGGUCUUUUAAGUUAGGCGUGAAAUCCCCGGGCUCAACCUGGGAACUGCGCUUAAAACUGGAGGACUAGAAAACGGAAGAGGGUAGUGGAAUUCCCAGUGUAGAGGUGAAAUUCGUAGAGAUCAGGAGGAACAUCGGAGGCGAAGGCGGCCACCUGGACAAAAACUGACGCUGAGGCACGAAAGCGUGGGGAGCGAACAGG
rnacentral:rRNA from 1 species